rnacentral:sRNA from 1 species
UCUCUGCACGUGCCACAAAGUGUCAGUUGGUGGAGUUGAGAGAACAAAGUUUGAGAGAGAUGUGGAAACCUUAAGCGGUAGGCCCCGGAGCCAUAGCAAGAGAGUGAGGAGCAGUAUGGGAAAGUGUAUCACAAUGGCUUUUUAGAGCAGAGUCCCAGGCUCAUCCAUUGCCUCCUCCCAUUGCUGACAGUGACCUCAGCUGUACUUUGCAAGAACAACUCUCCCAGGCACAUCUCAAACUAAUAUUUAAUUAUGAUACUACAGCUCAAAUAAAGUGUCAUAACACUUAUCAAUACAGAAAA